UACGUAGGGGGCUAGCGUUGUCCGGAAUCAUUGGGCGUAAAGCGCGUGUAGGCGGCCCGGUAAGUCCGCUGUGAAAGUCGGGGGCUCAACCCCUCGGAUGCCGGUGGAUACUGUCGGGCUGGAGUGCGGAAGAGGCGAGUGGAAUUCCGUGGUGGUAGCGGUGAAAUGCGCAGAGUAUCGAGGAGGAACACCAAUUGCGA
rnacentral:rRNA from 1 species